UGAAGGGGGUCGUGCAGUGACUACAGGCAAGAAGGAAAGCAGUUGGCAUGUGGGAGGGAACUGGACCUGACCAUGCUGCAGUGAAAGGCAGCCAGUUCUGGCACUCGCCACAGCCGGGAGCCCAGCCCCGUGCGAAAUCAGCCCCUCUGACAGCACCCAGGCCUGCUGAGGAGACGGACACCUUCUGUACCAGGUGAAAAUGAGAAGUCAUCGAAGGCCACAAUCCCCAACCCUUGCAGUGUGCCAGGCACUGCAUGCUAAUUGUCCCAUUUGAUACAGCAGAAAACUGACAGUCAGAGCAUUGCUCCUUCCCCUAAUCCACAAAGCUAGGAAGCAGUGGAUUCAAGUUCAGUCAGCCCAUUUUAAAGCGAUGUCAGUGCUUUACAAAUCAUUACUUCUCCAAUAAAGCAAAACACAACCACCCUGCUCCUCUGAAGCUCAGGACAUUAGUUAACUCUUAGGGUAUUGACAAGCGGGAUGACACUCCUCCAGCCCCAUGGCUGCUGUGUUAACCUCCUCCCUGCUGGCCUGGCCCCUCCAUCACCUUCACUGUGACACCUUCAGAUGUGACACCAGCCAUCAUUUUUCUGGCCGCCUUCACUGUCUGGUUGUCCCUGCCUUGACUGGGCCUUGUCAUCACUGAGUUGCUUGGCGUUCACAUGUCUCACUGCUGACAGCGUCAGGCCUGCCAGCCCUGCCCACUCACGGGCUCAAGUCCCCUGCUGUAGCUGGCAGGGCCGCCUGCUGCCUGCACUGCUUUCCUUCCUCCCCUCCUUCCCGCCUUCAUGCCUACCAUGUGGCCUGCCAGCUUCUCUGAGAAAACACCCUAAAUCCCCCCACUCCCACCUUCUUCCAUCACACAUGCUCUACCUUGGGUAAGCCUGGAAUGGUCCUGCCUGUGUCUGGGCAGGGGAGCUCUGCCCUAGGAAACUGCCCAGUUGGUGAGGCAGGAGGAGGAAGGGGCAGCUGCUGCCAUAGGAAAUUUGGGUUUAAGGUGGAAGCAAUCCAUGUGAGUAAUGUUCAGCUGCAGAGGUGAACACUGGAUUUAUCCAGGCUAGAGUUUGCCAUGUGAUUCUUGAGGGAAACAAGUGGGGAUGUUGAGAAUACUGGCUGAAGUGAUGGAGUGCUGAAUCUACAGAAUGGUUAUCUCACGUAAAAACGUGCUGUUUACUUAUUGCUUAUAAACCAUAAGUGUCUUAAGGGCAGGGCCUUGGCCUUGUUCUCCAUUGUAAUCCCAUCCUCUUGCUGGUCACUUUCCUGAGCACAUGGGUCAUCGGAGGAGACUUGGUGCUCAGGCAGCUGGGGAGAGAGGGCUGAAGGACAGGGGUGUGGCUGGAGAUGUUUGGGUGUGUGGUCAGAGAU